rnacentral:rRNA from 1 species
UCCGGUGGCUAUACCGGAGGGGCCCCACCCGAUCCCAUCUCGAACUCGGAAGUUAAGCCCUCCAGGGCCAAUGGUACUGCAGAGUGACCUCUGUGGGAGAGUAGGUCGCUGCCGGAU